CCAAUAGCGUAUAUUAAAGUUGUUGCAGUUAAAAAGCUCGUAGUUGAAUUUCGGGAUUGACGUGAUGGUCGUGCCUUAAGGGGUAUGAACUGUCGCUGUUGAUUUCUCACCUUCUGGAGAAACUUGAUGUCCUUAAUUGGGUGUCUUGCGGAUCCAGGACCUUUACCUUGAAAAAAUUAGAGUGUUUAAAGCAGGCAUUUUGCUCGAAUACAUUAGCAUGGAAUAAUAGAAUAGGACGGCAUGGUUCUAUUUUGUUGGUUUCUAGGAUCACCGUAAUGAUUAAUAGGGAUAGUUGGGGGCAUUAGUAUUCAAUUGUCAGAGGUGAAAUUCUUGGAUUUAUUGAAGACUAACUACUGCGAAAGCAUUUGCCAAGGAUGAUUUCAUUAAUCAAGAACGAAAGUUAGGGGAUCGAAGACGAUCAGAUACCGUCGUAGUCUUAACCAUAAACUAUGCCGACUAGGAAUCAGACGAUGUUAAUUUUUUAAUGACUCGUUUGGCACCUUACG
rnacentral:rRNA from 1 species